UGCGUUUUUCCGUCCAAUUCAAUAACUUAAGGAAAACUUGAAGAUUAAAAAAGUGUUGUUCACGGUUAAUCUGAAGUAUUGAGAUUUACAAUUUAUUGAAAGAACAACUGAAAAUCAAUUUAGGUUGCAUAUGUGUCAUGUGUGGAGAAGAACCCUCUAGCUAGUUCAUCACCUAUCCUUCCACCUUAAUUUCAUGCUUUUGUCAAUUCUGUAAUUUAUUUAAGUUUAAUUUACUUCUCGUCAAAACCAAACCCCCCCCCCCAUUAUUAAAUUAUAUUAUUUAGUUAGUUUUCAUUGUUGUUAGUCUUUUAAUUCAAUUUCCGUCCAUUUCAGUUCCUAGUGUCUAAUUUGAUUGUUUUCAUUAUUUUGAGUCAUUCUAAGUGUGUUUCGAGUUAUUAGAGUUUUUAGCCUAGUUUUGUGUCCUUGAGUCUUGUUUAAUAAUUCUAAAUUAAUUUAGAAUAGAUUAGCAAUCCCUCCUAAUCCCCGGCAACGGCGCCAAAAUUUGAUGCGUAAUAUAUAAGCACACAAAUUAAACCCUCUUUUUAUCAAUUGUAGUAAAGUAUGCAAGUAGGGUACCACAACAUCCCCCACAACAAUUCCAAUCAAAUCAAAGUAUGCCCGUGAAUUAUAAUGAAAUUCUUGAAGGACUAAUUUCUUUGACGCAGGGUUCACAAAAAGAAGAACAAUUGCCACCAUCGGAAGAGUUCUAUCAGUGGCCAUAUGAACUGUCACAGCCACCACAACAAUCAACCCAAUUCAAUUCAGGUACGUCCUUGGAUAAUGAUACACUUAAUAAGUUACUCACCUCUUUGAAUCAGGGAGUAGAAAAUCAAAACCAGGAGAUGCAAGACUGAGUCAAAAGAGUGGACGAAUUGGAUAUGCAAGUUGGGCAGAUUGUGGAAUUCAUGGCACAGAUUCGAGAUCAAAGUGAACUUUCCAACUCAAACAUUGCAAAUUCAAAGGCAGAAAGUGAAAUCGAUGAAGCCAUCACUUUGGAAGGUGACAUGAAGGAUGAAGCUGUCCCAGAACCAUCCAAACACAGCUCGAACAUGGAUGAAUUGCUGCUGCAAGCAGAAGAGGAGGAGGACGACCUGGGCAGUUUAGAAGAAUUCUUGCUGCAAGCUCCUCAAAUCCCUAUGUCGUCCAACUCAGGUGAGGAAGUUCUAAAUUCACUUCAUUCUAACAUUAUUCCACCGAAUGUCCUUUGUCCUUGCAGGUUUUUGAUUCCAAAUAUCAAAGAGAGUGAAAAAGACAUUGUGGAAGCUCUUCCAAAGGUGCAAAGUGAUAUCCCAAUUCUUGGUGCACCAAAACAAGUUCCCGAUGGUAUUGAAACGUUCAAAGAACCUUGCACACCAAAAAAAGGGAUUCAAGAAAAUGAAGUGGUUGAAGCAUAUCAAGAAUACAUCCAAGAGGCUGUGCAUGAGACAAUCAAGCCCAAAGCAGUUGAGUUUGAUAACACGGGACAAGCCACAACCAUCAUAGUAAACCUGGCCAAGUUCAAAGUCCCGAAAAUGUUCAAAGAUGUGGUGUUUGUCAUUGAGUUUGUGUCAGAAAAAGAAAGUAAGCCAUCUUCUCCAAUUUUAAUUUUAAUUUAUACUAACAUGUUUCUGAUUUUGAUGAUUCAGGCACCCACUCUUGAAUUUAAACCAUUGCCGAAUCAUUUCAAGUAUCACCUCCCAUAAAAGAUAAAUUCCAUGCUUUGGAGCCGAGGGGAGUUUAAAGGAAAGAUUCGUCCGGCUAAAGACGUUAAAUCAAGCGCUUCUUGGGAGGCAACCCAAGAAUUCAACGAAGGGAGACUUUGGAAUCGCUAACCAAAUCAGAUUUGCAUUCUUACACCCUUAUCUUUACUGCUUUCAUUUUGUUUUGUUUAGUUAGUUGUGUUAUUUGGUUGAUUUCUGUGAGUUUGUGUUAUUUAGUUUAAGUGUGGGGGAAGGUUAAACAAAGUUUUUUUUACAUUAAUUUACAUAUUUAAAAAAAAAACACUUAAAAAUAAAAAUAUUUUACAAUGAUGUGUAAACUAAUAGCAUUCAUUGGUCAGGUGGUGCUUCAGUAGUCGGCGGAGCUUCAGCAGUCGGCGGGGCCACGGAAGGAGGAGGUAUCGGAGGUUGAUCAGUUGGAGCUUCACUACGCGGUGCCGCCCCAGAAGACGAAGGCAGAUGCGGUUGGAACAAACCCACAAACCUCCGGUGAUCAAGUAAAAUCUGACCAUCAUUUUCCUGCAGCUGGUCAAUUUUCCUCUUCAUGUUUGUGGCAUAAUUGUGUGCAAGCUUGUGCAAUUGUUUAUUUUCAUGCUUGAGUUCUCUAAUCUCCUCUUUGAGACUCUGUAUUUCAGCCACCAACGAUUCAACGUGACGGGUUCGAGCAAAUAGGCGUUGGGCCAUGUUGGACACAGAACCCGCACACUGCACGCUAAGAGCCAGAGACUCCUUAACCGCCAAUUCAUCAGACCGUCUAGCGAGCAGUCUGUUAUCUCUGGGGGUGACAAGGUUCCGGGCCACCACCGCAGCGGUCAUGUCAUUUUUCAUCACCGAAUCCCCAACGGUGAGAGGACCAGUAGGGGAUAUGAGGGACGGGCGCCAUAUGUUGUCUGGAGAAGGAGAGGCUGCUCCUUCAUCAAGGUUCAAGUCAAAACGACGGUCGGAAGGGCCAGACAUUUUUCAGAGGUGGUGAAGAAAGAAGAGAGUCGGACUGAUCAAGAUUAAAAAAAAUGCAAGAAGGGAGUGUUUACAAGAGGGAGCUCAAGUGUGUUGUGGAACAAAAUUAACGCCUCUAUAAAAAGAAGAAAUCAAAGAGGCGUUCCUCAGAAAUCGAAGAAGCGUCCUCUCGCAAAUCGAAGAGUCGGGGCUCCUUUCUCAAAAACCGGAUUCUUUCUCAAAAGAGGCGUUGCAUUUCUCAAAAGCUGGGCUUGCUCAGAAACCACGAGUCGAACCCCGGAUUUCAAAAGAUCAAUUUGUCCAGACGUGUCGUCACUCGUCACAUGCAACUUGCAGCUUUGCGGAAAUUACGGGCAGCUUUGUCAGAAAGCGCGUAAUUUGUACUAUUCAUUCAUCCACCGGCUGCCGACAAUGAGUGAGAGAAUAGUUCCAGUUGUGAAGAAAAGUCCUAUAAGUAUCUACCUUCGCCUUCCACAGCAAAGGCACACCCUCUCAGUACUUCUUCAUCUCUGAAAUGGCUUUCCAACACACCCUCUCGAGUCACUCAGUGUUCCUUAUUCCUUGGGGUACCUCUGCAAACAACCCAUCCAAAGCAAAAGUAUUUCAUAUCAUGAAGGUUGAAAGCAAGAGUAUCUCAUAUCAUGCUUUCUCCCUGUCCUUUCUCCAGCCAGCUCUUGCUCUCGAGUACUCAUCAUCUUAUGCCUUCGCUUUGUUUCUCACUUAUAAGGGAAGUGAAGAUGAUACCUCGAAGCAUGUGGAGACAACGUGCUGAUUCAUCCUCAACUAAGGACAAGGAGAAAGAGAGCAAGAGGUGGGCACUUGGAAAGAUUGAAGAAAGAAACAGACCAACACCUUUACCUCGUGCCUGCCCGUCGUGCAGAAGAAACAAGCAGAGAAGAAUGCAGCUUGCACAAUCAUCCCAGCGGAAGGAGUCUGAGAUGAAGAACUAGAGAAGCUGCCACAUCUGCUUGGAGAACAAAUAAGGAAUUGCAACAUUGCUAAAGAGCAAAGCCUCGCUGUACAAUAUCAUCAAAUCAUCACUUGCAAGUAAAAAGCUAAGUGUCACCCCGUUCAAGAGGAAAGCUGUGGAAAGUCAACAAGCACGACCAAUGAUCACUUAUUAGUUCUAUUCAUUGUCUUUUAUCGUGAUUUUCAAUUUUACAUUUUCUUGCGUUACUUAACUGAAUUAUUUCUUUUCUUUGCAGGAACUUUUGGUUCUUUCCACCCUUGAAGUUGAUUGCAGAAUUUUAGCUUGGGGAGUCAUCGCUUGGUUUUACUGCAAACUAGGGAAGUUUUCAGUCCAAUUGCUUUAUUUUGUUUCUUAUUAUUUAUUUAUUUUAUUUUUAUUUGCAUUAUAGUGUUUUCUGACAUUGGGGACAAUGUCCAGUUUAAGUUUGGGGGUAAAGAGUAUAAAAAUGACCAAAUUGAAAUUUUUUUUGUACCUUCAACUACGAACGAGUUUCAUUUGUUUCCAUGUUGUUGCUUUUUGUUUUCUUAAUUAGUUUUGUUUUCUUUUUAAAAAAAAAAUUUUAAAAAAAAAUCGGAAAAUUUAAAAAUCCAAAAAUAUUGUCUUGUUUCCCUUAUUGUUUUGAAUUAGAUUUUUGUUAGUUUCCCGACCCAAUGAUAUAAUUAGAUCAAAUUUGAAUCAUGAUUAUCAAGAACUUAGUUAACAUGUGUUUUGUGAAAUUCCUAAUUCUCUUGUUAGUUUUGUACAUGUUUGAUCAUCUUUGAAAAACCAAAUGCACAUAGCCUUGUUGAUGUGAAACUAAAGCAUGACUUAAAGCUUCAUAUGUGAAUUUAGUGACCAUAUACAUCCUAUGUCAGUUUUUGAGCCUAUUGAAAGUGCGUGCAUUUUUCAUACACUCCUAUUUUUUUUUAUGUGUGAUGAACUUAUGUGAGAUACAUCUCUAGAACUUGCGUAACGAUCUUUCGAAAUGUUUGUCAUUGAUUGCAUGAACUUGGAAAUGAUAGAGGCAUUAGGUUUACCACUAUGGCCCAAAUAACCAUGUUUCCCAAAGAAAAAUGAUAUCAUUAGAUUGCCAAUUUGAGCCGUAUUUGUUGAGCCUUUUAUUUCUUAUCACCAGAUAUGUCUACCCUUAUACCUGAAACAUUUUUCCUUACCCUUUCCAAGCGAGCAAUGAGAGAUUGUCUUAUGAGAAACGUUUGUGAAGUACUUUGAAGGUGUUUGGCAAAAGAAUAAGUGUGGGGGUAUUUCAUGUUUGUAUUUAAAAAAAAAAAAAAAGAGAAAAGAGAAGAAAAGAAAAAGAAAAAGAAAGAUUGUAUACAAAUGAAAUAAAAAGUUUUUAAAGUUUCAGUUUAAGGGUGUGGUUGGAGGUGCUAGAAGAAUUGCUGGAGAGCUUGAGUUCUUAUAAAUCUAAAGAAAAGAAUUGCUUGCAAUGUAGCUUGGAACUUGUGUUUUCCUAUUCUAUCGUUUCAAUAACCCUAUCCCUAAACCUCAUUACAUCCAAUAAAAGUCCUCUUGAUUUAAGUUUUGCAAUUAUGACUGUGGAGAAGUGAUCUUUAUGCAAGCUUAUGGUAGAAAUUUCACAUUUGAUUUUUUGAGCGAAACACAUUAAAACUAAACACAUGUGUGAUUGAGUGUAUAUCCCGUGAGAAGGUUGCUAGUUUGCAUAUGAUGAUUUUAAAAAUAUAAAAAUUUUGAAAUUGCAUUAGCAUGGCUAUCUCACACACUACACUUCAAGGAUGAUUCAAAGAUUACUGCUAAUAUUUGAUUAAGGAAGAUGAACUUGGAUUAGUUUGUUUGGUGCUAGCUAUGGUUCUUGAUGAUUUGUUUUCUUGAAUGAAAUUCUAUGAGGGUCACAUAGGGGGAAACUAAUGUUUUUCAUGUUAUUACUUUUUCAUGUUUUCUUUGUUUUGCUCGAGGACUAGCAAAAAUGUAAGUUUGGGGGUAUUUGAUCACGCAUAUAUUUCAUGCAUUUAUACCAUCCAUUUCUAUAGUCUUUGUGAUGUUUUUGUGUUAAUUGUGGCAUUUUAUUUUACCUUGUGUUAAUGUGCAGUUAAAUUUCUUUUAGGAUAAAUAAUAAAAGAAAGAGGGAGUGGAGACUAAUGGGACGGAAAGGGAGAUUGACAGCAAGCAGAAAAGAAAAAUAAAAGAAUAAGUGGGAAGAAUGGAAUGGUGGAGGAAUAAAGAAAAGAGAAUGGCAAACAAGAAAAAAAAAAGAAGGAAUAAAAAAUGAAAGAAGAAUAAGAGGGAGGCCAGGAGGCGCGGCAGACGGAGGGGAAGAGAGAAGACAGAAAAAUUGUGCAGAGGGGAAGAGAAUAACAGGGGGAUAGGUGCAGCCAAGAAUAGAAGAGAAGCAGAGAGACUGACACGGCAGAGAAGCAGAGAGACUGACGACAGAGGGCAGGCACGGAGCACAGAGACACAGAGAAAGAGCUUCACUCCAUUUUUCUUGGUUAAAUCUUUCCAAACUUAUAUUUUAUUUCUGUUUUAAUAAUGUGUAACUAAAUUUAUUUUGGCUAGAGGUUAAUUCAAAGCCAUGAAUAUAUUUGUAAUAUGAAUUGAUUACCUUCAGUUGUGAUUUCGGAGUUGUGAUUUAAUUUGCUUAACUGCUUGAUUGAUAGCUUAUUUUUGUAUGUCGAUUAAGAAUGCAUACUUAAUUUACAUGCAUGAAUUUGACGCUAGAAUAUAAGGGAGUUUCACCUAAUCGUUAUGAACUUAUAUUUACAAGUAGUGAAGGUUGCUAGUCACAAUCACGUUAAGUAAAUUCUUGGCAUAAGUUUCAUGCUUUUUCAUAGUUACGAAUGCCUCGUCAAUGCUUAUAGUUUUCACAAAGUUUAAUGAUCUUUGAUUGUAUCUCUAUUGUGCUUUUCACGUAGGGGACUUUUGAAGAAUGUUUUUGAAUUGUUGUAUGCGUUUUUCCGUCCAAUUCAAUAACUUAAGGAAAACUUGAAGAUUAAAAAAGUGUUGUUCACGGUUAAUCUGAAGUAUUGAGAUUUACAAUUUAUUGAAAGAACAACUGAAAAUCAAUUUAGGUUGCAUAUGUGUCAUGUGUGGAGAAGAACCCUCUAGCUAGUUCAUCACCUAUCCUUCCACCUUAAUUUCAUGCUUUUGUCAAUUCUGUAAUUUAUUUAAGUUUAAUUUACUUCUCGUCAAAACCA
rnacentral:lncRNA from 1 species